CACGUAGGGCGCAAGCGUUGUCCGGAAUUAUUGGGCGUAAAGAGCUCGUAGGCGGUUUGUCGCGUCUGCUGUGAAAACCCGAGGCUCAACCUCGGGCCUGCAGUGGGUACGGGCAGACUAGAGUGCGGUAGGGGAGAUUGGAAUUCCUGGUGUAGCGGUGGAAUGCGCAGAUAUCAGGAGGAACACCAAUGGCGAAGGCAGAUCUCUGGGCCGUAACUGACGCUGAGGAGCGAAAGCAUGGGGAGCGAACAGG
rnacentral:rRNA from 1 species